rnacentral:tRNA from 1 species
GCCCAGGUGGUGGAAUUGGUAUACACACUAGGUUGAGGGCCUAGGCUUAUUUAAGCGUGCGGGUUCGAGUCCCGCCCUGGGCACCA